GGUAGCGUGGCCGAGCGGUCGGCGCUGGUUUAAGGCACCAGUCUAAGGCGCUGGUUUAAGGCACCAGUCUCUCCGAGAGGCGUGGGUUCGAAUCCCACCGCUGCCA